CCCAUUGCCAUAGAGUAGUGAAGUCCCAGCCUGUUUUGUCUCUUGCAGUAGCCACUCCUUACAGAGCCUGAAAGAGAAGGGGAGCGUCCAGCCGCCAUCUUGGGCUCUGUCUUGUCAUCCCUUGAACAAGUCUGUCUUCUCUCUCUUUUUUUUUUUGAGACAGAGUCUCGCUCUUUCGCCCAGGCCGGACUGCAGUGGCACUAUCUCGGCUCACUGCAAGCUCCGCCUCCCGGGUUCACGCCACUCUCUUGCCUCAGCCUCCCUAGUAGCUGGGACUACAGGCGCCCGCUACCGCGUCUGGCUAAUUUUUUGUAUUUUUAGUAGAGACGGGGUUUCACCCCGUUAACCAGGUUGGUCUUGAUUUCCUGACCUCGUGAUCCGCCCGCCUCGGCCUCCCAAAGUGCUGGGAUUACAGGCGUGAGCCACUGCGCCCGGCCACAAGUCUGUCUUCUCUUUAAUGCCUCAUUUGUCUUGGCACAAAGACACAUGAUUAGGCUCAGAGUGGCAUGUUUUGGCAAGGGUGAGACACAUUCAGUGGAGUGUUGGGGAAAGGAUGGGGUUAGGGUGGAGGCCUAGGGCCAGAGACAGAUGGGCCAUGCUAAGACAUACGUUAGUGACGUUUGUUAGGGAAAUGACAUGGCUAAAUGGUUCUUUAGGAAGAAGAGUCAGGCGCCUCUGGAAGGGAUGGUUUGGCCUACAGAGAGAAAACAGAGAGAAUGGGCAAGGGGUCAUCGAUGGACCGGAGAUGGGAUGGUAGGGACAGAAACUGCAGGGUCCGCAGAAGGAACUGCUCACCGAAAGCCAACAAGCUUGCCCUGUGGAAUCCCAGAAAGGCCCAGGAACUUCGGGACAUCACUGAAGGCAGAGUGAAGAGAGGAAGAGAAGACAGAGAAAUGGAGGGGAGAAAACUAUUAAAAUAAGUAAUAAGAAAACUUUCCCCAGAAGUGCAGAAUCUGAAUUUCCAGUAUAAAAGGGUCCAUUGAGCGCCAAGAACAAUGAAGGAAAAAAGGUCCCACUCAGGCCUACGUAUCAUUGUGAAAUUUCAGAACUAGAGGGAUAAAGAAAAGAUCCUAAAAGCUUCCCGAGAGAUAAAAAAGAAGAUUUUUACAAAGGAUCAGCAAUCAGAAUUGCCUCAGACUGCUCAAUAAAAACAUCAGAAGCUAGAAGAAAAUAGAAUGAGGCAUCAAAAUCCUGAGGGAAAUGAUUCCCACCUAUAAUUUCAUAUUCUGCUCAAUUAUCAAUUGAGUAUUGAAGGGAAAUAAAGACAUUUUUAGACAUGCAGUUUCUCCACUUGAUCUUAGCCCAAAGGCCGAGAGGCAAUGACAUGCAGUUUCUCAAAAGGUUUGCUUCCCACUUUCUUGGAAAAAACCAAGAAAGAGGGGGCCUGGGGAACCAGGGGAUCCCAACACAGGAGAGUGGCAGAGGAAGCUCCCAGGAUGAUGGAAAA
rnacentral:lncRNA from 1 species